rnacentral:rRNA from 1 species
CAGUAGCCGCGGUAAUACGAGGGGGGCAAGCGUUGUUCGGAAUUAUUGGGCGUAAAGGGUGCGUAGGCGGUUCAGCAAGUCUCGUGUGAAAUCUUCGGGCUCAACCCGAAGUCUGCACGGGAAACUACUGGGCUUGAGUAAUGGAGAGGUGAGUGGAAUUUCCGGUGUAGCGGUGAAAUGCGUAGAUAUCGGAAGGAACACCUGUGGCGAAAGCGGCUCACUGGACAUUUACUGACGCUGAUGCACGAAAGCUAGGGGAGCAAACAGGAUUAGAUACCCGUGUAGUCCCUGUCUCUUAUAC